ensembl:lncRNA
UUUCCAAAUUAUUAAUUUUAAAGGCCCAGAACCUAAUGUCAGUACUCCACGUCCAAAUUCCAGGGGACUGGAGAUGGCUGCUCAGUGCUGUCGAUCUGCUCAGGUUUCUGCACCUCUGGGCAGCUCUUGAUGCCAUAUCCCUGUGAUGCCCAGCAGACCUGGGACUUGGGUAUCCUCUGUGGGGCAAGUGGACACACGGAGCUGCCUUCAAAAGGAGUCACCACAAGGCCUCAGCCUGGCUCUCCUCCACCUGUGUCUCCACAAAGGUCAUGCCUGAGAAGAUCCAUGAGGCCAGCUCUCCACGUGGAAACUGUGAAUAGGACCAUGGCUGGAAGUAGUGUCCUCCCAGCUCCCCAACGGCUGUGGGGCAGGGGACCAGUGUGCUUCUAGCAGCGGUGGGGUUGUCUCCUUCAGAGCUUGUUGGGAAGGCUCGUGCCCACAUUGUGAGGGCCUGCUGACGUCUGUGCUCCCAUCCACUCAGCGCUGGGGUAGCUGUUUAUCCACCACCCUUCAUCAAUGAGGUUUAAGGGCAUACCUCAGAAAGGCAGCACAUGGUGCUUUCUGUAGCACUGAGAGUGAAGGGGAGAAACUUAAAGCCAAUGGGAAGGAUUUGCAUUAGCUCUGCUGCCAAGAAGUCUUUCCUAAACUCUCUCCUUCAAUAAUAUCUGGGUCAAAAUAAUACUGACUCUACUAAAUCUUCAGUUUUCUUGCUUUUUGUGUAUCAACACUAGGACAAAGCAAUUACAGCCCCCAGAGACACACAUGAGUGAAGUGAGUGAGGCAGAGAUAUUAGUGUUGCUGUUGUCCUUUCCUGCCCUGUCGCCUGCCUUUGUUAAUCUGCAUGUGCAAAUUAAACUGAAAUUAAACUCUUAAUUUAUCAUCUUGUUGUGGUGACAGCAGGCAGGACCAGAACGCUUUACAAACACGUAGCACCACAUUAACAUCAGAAACAGAUUCUUCCCCCGAGAGAGGGGAAGAUUUCAAAGAAUGUGGAAAGAUACCACAGGGCUGUAAUCCCUCUUGCUGUACAGAAAACAACCGAUUGUUGUUGAAACCCUUGGAGGGGGGAGGUGAGGGAUCUGCACAACACAUGUAGGCUACAGCUUUUCCACCGUCGAGAGUGGAGAUGGGAAAUUUGAAAUAAACAACCUUGGGGGGUGGAAGGAAAAAAAAAA